rnacentral:rRNA from 1 species
UGGGGAAUCUUCCGCAAUGGACGAAAGUCUGACGGAGCAACGCCGCGUGAGUGAUGAAGGAUUUCGGUCUGUAAAGCUCUGUUGUUUAUGACGAACGUGCAGUGUGUGAACAAUGCAUUGCAAUGACGGUAGUAAACGAGGAAGCCACAGCUAACUACGUGCCAGCAGCCGCGGUAAUACGUAGGUGGCGAGCGUUGUCCGGAAUUAUUGGGCGUAAAGAGCAUGUAGGCGGCUUAAUAAGUCGAGCGUGAAAAUGCGGGGCUCAACCCCGUAUGGCGCUGGAAACUGUUAGGCUUGAGUGCAGGAGAGGAAAGGGGAAUUCCCAGUGUAGCGGUGAAAUGCGUAGAUAUUGGGAGGAACACCAGUGGCGAAGGCGCCUUUCUGGACUGUGUCUGACGCUGAGAUGCGAAAGCCAGGGUAGCGAACGGG